ensembl:lncRNA
UUAAAGAAGCAAGUAAAGCGGGAGAUGUCUUUGAAGCUAUCUUUUUUUUUUUUUUUUUCCUUUUUCAGCUGCGACCUACCGCUUGCGGAAUCUUGGUUCCGGGACCAGGGAUUUAACCUGGGCCCUCCGCAGUGAAAGCUGGACCCUUUACCACCAGCUGGCCUGCCUGAGGAAUUGGCUGGAAAGUCUGCACAGAUCAUGAGGAAGGGGCUCCCUGAGUCUCUGGAUUUCCCCUUUGCCCCUCAUCUCCACACCAUUCCCACUCUCUUUUCCCGAAUCCUGGCGCUAUCCUGGAGUGAAGCCGGAGGAGGAUGCUUCCUGUGGGAGGCCAGCGUGCCCAUUGAGGCAAAGAAGUGCUUGUAGUGUGCCAGAACUCUGCGCUCACGUGGCCGCGGCGAGGCCGGGAAUGCGGGAGACGGCUGCUGUCAGAGUCUGCAGACAUCCGGGAAGAGCCUCACCUCGUUUGACCCUGAACGCUGGCCCAGAGCCCGGCCGGGACUCGCUGCUGCCUCCCGGCGGUGGAGGUUGGACAUGCACCACCACGAGUGCCC